rnacentral:tRNA from 1 species
GGUGGGUUCGUCUAUCGGUAGGACACAAGAUUUUCAUUCUUGGAAGAGGAGUUCGAUUCUCCUACCCACUA